ensembl:lncRNA MEG3 maternally expressed 3
GCGCAGACGGCGGAGAGCAGAGAGGGAGCGCGCCUUGGCUCGCUGGCCUUGGCGGCGGCUCCUCAGGAGAGCUGGGGCGCCCACGAGAGGAUCCCUCACCCGGGUCUCUCCUCAGGGAUGACAUCAUCCGUCCACCUCCUUGUCUUCAAGGACCACCUCCUCUCCAUGCUGAGCUGCUGCCAAGGGGCCUGCUGCCCAUCUACACCUCACGAGGGCACUAGGAGCACGGUUUCCUGGAUCCCACCAACAUACAAAGCAGCCACUCACUGACCCCCAGGACCAGGAUGGCAAAGGAUGAAGAGGACCGGAACUGACCAGCCAGCUGUCCCUCUUACCUAAAGACUUAAACCAAUGCCCUAGUGAGGGGGCAUUGGGCAUUAAGCCCUGACCUUUGCUAUGCUCAUACUUUGACUCUAUGAGUACUUUCCUAUAAGUCUUUGCUUGUGUUCACCUGCUAGCAAACUGGAGUGUUUCCCUCCCCAAGGGGGUGUCAGUCUUUGUCGACUGACUCUGUCAUCACCCUUAUGAUGUCCUGAAUGGAAGGAUCCCUUUGGGAAAUUCUCAGGAGGGGGACCUGGGCCAAGGGCUUGGCCAGCAUCCUGCUGGCAACUCCAAGGCCCUGGGUGGGCUUCUGGAAUGAGCAUGCUACUGAAUCACCAAAGGCACGCCCGACCUCUCUGAAGAUCUUCCUAUCCUUUUCUGGGGGAAUGGGGUCGAUGAGAGCAACCUCCUAGGGUUGUUGUGAGAAUUAAAUGAGAUAAAAGAGGCCUCAGGCAGGAUCUGGCAUAGAGGAGGUGAUCAGCAAAUGUUUGUUGAAAAGGUUUGACAGGUCAGUCCCUUCCCACCCCUCUUGCUUGUCUUACUUGUCUUAUUUAUUCUCCAACAGCACUCCAGGCAGCCCUUGUCCACGGGCUCUCCUUGCAUCAGCCAAGCUUCUUGAAAGGCCUGUCUACACUUGCUGUCUUCCUUCCUCACCUCCAAUUUCCUCUUCAACCCACUGCUUCCUGACUCGCUCUACUCCGUGGAAGCACGCUCACAAAGGCACGUGGGCCGUGGCCCGGCUGGGUCGGCUGAAGAACUGCGGAUGGAAGCUGCGGAAGAGGCCCUGAUGGGGCCCACCAUCCCGGACCCAAGUCUUCUUCCUGGCGGGCCUCUCGUCUCCUUCCUGGUUUGGGCGGAAGCCAUCACCUGGAUGCCUACGUGGGAAGGGACCUCGAAUGUGGGACCCCAGCCCCUCUCCAGCUCGAAAUCAAACAGGGUAAUUCAUGACAGUGUCCGCUUGGGAGACGGCUGUGACCCCUGAGAAUUCUCGCUGCAUGCCGUGGGCUGGCUCGUGAGACUCAAGCCUCCACAGCCACGGGGACACCCUGCACCUAUUCCCACGGGACAGGCUGGACCCAGAGACUCUGGACCCGGGGCCUCCCCUUGAGUAGAGACCCGCCCUCUGACUGAUGGACGCCGCUGACCUGGGGUCAGACCCGUGGGCUGGACCCCUGCCCACCCCGCAGGAACCCUGAGGCCUAGGGGAGCUGUUGAGCCUUCAGUGUCUGCAUGUGGGAAGUGGGCUCCUUCACCUACCUCACAGGGCUGUUGUGAGGGGCGCUGUGAUGCGGUUCCAAAGCACAGGGCUUGGCGCACCCCACUGUGCUC